rnacentral:rRNA from 1 species
GAUGAACGCUGGCGGCGUGCCUAAUACAUGCAAGUCGAGCGAACAGACGAGGAGCUUGCUCCUCUGACGUUAGCGGCGGACGGGUGAGUAACACGUGGAUAACCUACCUAUAAGACUGGGAUAACUUCGGGAAGCCGGAGCUAAUACCGGAUAAUAUAUUGAACCGCAUGGUUCAAUAGUGAAAGACGGUUUUGCUGUCACUUAUAGAUGGAUCCGCGCCGCAUUAGCUAGUUGGUAAGGUAACGGCUUACCAAGGCAACGAUGCGUAGCCGACCUGAGAGGGUGAUCGGCCACACGGGAACUGAGACACGGUCCAGACUCCUACGGGAGGCAGCAGUAGGGAAUCUUCCGCAAUGGGCGAAAGCUUGACGGAGCAACGCCGCGUGAGUGAUGAAGGUCUUCGGAUCGUAAAACUCUGUUAUUAGGGAAGAACAAAUGUGUAAGUAACUAUGCACGUCUUGACGGUACCUAAUCAGAAAGCCACGGCUAACUACGUG